UUUUUAGAAAAAGAAAGACCUCAGACUUAGACCAUUGGCAGACUGCACCUUGGUAUGUCUUCUCCAUGGCUCUUAAGGAAGAGGACAUAAACUCCUUACAAGGUUUGAUGAAGCCUAUGGACCCUGUAUCAAAAUAAGUUUUGUGCUACAGAUAUUCCCAGCACGGCCAAUUUCAAGCUACCAACAUGAUGUCACCAAACCAGUUGUUGAAGAUGUGCACAAGCAGGUCUCAUGUGAUGGUUCGAGCCAGCUCCAGCACACCACUUACGUUGGGCUAGAAUUACUACAUCUCUGAACUAAUGACCUUCUGGAACAGUGCCCAGAACAUAGCAGCUCUACAGGUGAGCUGGACUUUGAUCCGAUGAUGUUUCUGCUGUGCUUGGAUCAAGGUCAUGGUUGGGGUCAGUUUCGUCCCAUGUGUUUCUUUUUCUUCGGAAAUCAGUAGGUGCCCCUGGGAAUAUUUUCCUCAUCGUGAUUGAAGAGUACAAAAGUGCUUUCCCAAAUGGACACAUACAUUAAGAGCCUCUGCUGGCAUUACAUCCACCAACAUCCCAAUUGCUCGAAUCAAGCCAUCUCAAAGUCAGGGGUCAGGAAAGUAUACUUUAUUCACUAUGAGACUGUGGGAAGGGGCUGAAUGCAUUAACAUUACAGAGUAGUAGAACCAAUAAUUCAACUCAUCUCACCCUAGACUAGUAGAGUAAAACAAGGGUCAGUGGGCUAAAGCUUUAAAAAGAUUGAUUCUGGUAUGAUGUAAUAAAAAACUGGAUGAUCAUUGAAACUGUCUAAUAAUAGAUUCUAACCAGUGAAGUCUUUGUGCCAGAAGAGGUUAGACAGAGUCCAAGGGCUCACUUCCCAGGAGUGGCAUAGACAGCAUUCCAGUAUCAUUUAGAAAGUGAGACACUGUGCCAAUAGGUAUCCACCCGCCUCUAGCAUCCUACAGCUUCGCGAUCCUGUUCUACCCCACGCCAUUCUCUCCCGACUCUGACAUCCUAAGGCUAUUUCUCUCUGUGCUGGCACCUGGGGAGCUUAAUUAUAUAUGGCACAUUUGUUUUCCUGAGAGUGUCACGAGUAACCCUUGACAUCCCCACUACUCUGGAAACAUUUCAGGGACCAGGCUGGGUCUUAAACUUCUCUUUCAUCAUCUCUAGCAACUAGCUCAGUCUUGGGCGCCAAGUCCUUAGCAUGGCAUUAAACCACCACCCAAUACCCAGUCCAGCCCCAAACCAUCUCUCCAGCCUCAUCGCCUACUUUUCAUGCCUUGUGAUGCAGCCAAGGUGAGCUACUUGAGCAUCCCCAUAUACAGCCUGUGCUCCUCAGGGCUUUGCUCCCUCGGGUACCAGUUUCUUUUAUCCUCAUAGGCUCAGACCCUACCCAUCCCACCCAGGUCAGACCAAAUGCUACCUUCUCCCAAAUGUUUUCACUGCUAAUCCGCCCAGAAAGAAGUCUUUUCCUCUUCUGAAUAGCUGGAACACGUCUCACGAUGCUUAAGCUUUUCAGGGGAUAGAAAAGUGGUUCUGAACCCUAACCUUAUUAGGGUGAUUUGGGAAUAUUUAAAACACACAUAACCUGGUCCCAUUCCGGGGUAGUCUCAUUUUAUUGGUCUGGUAAUAGAAAUGCCAACUAGCAAUGGGAAGGCAACAAAAACCUUUAGUUUACUGACAGAGCAAGGUAUAUGGAAACAAGUGGUUCCAGGAUUGGCACAGCAGUUUAAUGAUGUCACUGAGAACUUAGGCUCAUUCUUUCUUCCUGAUCUGCCAUUCUCAAUGUGUCAGCAAUGUCUCCCCUCAUGGCUGCAGGACAGCUGCUGUGGCUCCAGGCAUCACAUCUUCAUACCCAGCAUACCAAGCAGGAACCAAGAAAGGUUCUUCUCACAUACCCCCUCUUGCCAGAGCAAGAGAGCCUAGGAGUUUCCUGCAGACAUUUGCUUACAUCUCCUGGCUAAAACUGGGACACACACCCAUCCAUGGCCUAUCACUGGCAAAGGAGAAUGGGUUGUCCAGAUUGCUUGAGGCCAGACACAAUCCAUUGUUAGAGCUAGACUGUCCUCAACAAAACCUAGGCUCUGAGCUGGGAAGCAAGAAAGAAGGAGGAAGAGAGGUCCCAGAAGGACAGUAAACUUGCUGAAGGAGGCAACAUGGCCGUGUGCACAGAAGCUUUACCAGUCUUCAGAGAUGCUCUGUAGUCACUUGCCAAAUAACUGACCCCUCUCUCUCCAAACCAUCGUCUCAAAUGCUAUUUUUAUCCAUUUGUAACGCAUGCAGUCUCCAUUGCUCUACUUAUCUUGGCUUCUGGGGACGUCCAUUUCCCAGGAUCCCCAAAUAUAAGUCAGGUUUUCACCGAGGCCUGCGGAGGCCUCAGAGCUGUAGAAACCAUAUAAGUAUGUGCUAAUGAGUUAGGUUCCUAGAAAAUGUAUUAUCUAUGAAGGAAGCGUGGAUUAAGCAUAG